CAGUCGCCACGGGAAUACGAAGGGUGCAAGCGUUAAUCGGAAUUACUGGGCGUAAAGCGUGCGUAGGCGGUGAGUUAAGUCUGCUGUGAAAGCCCUGGGCUCAACCUGGGAAUUGCAGUGGAUACUGGGUCACUAGAGUGUGGUAGAGGAUAGUGGAAUUUCCGGUGUAGCAGUGAAAUGCGUAGAGAUCGGAAGGAACAUCUGUGGCGAAGGCGACUAUCUGGGCCAACACUGACACUGAGGCACGAAAGUGUGGGGAGCAAACAGGAUUAGAUACCCGCGUAGUCCCUGUCUCUUAUAC
rnacentral:rRNA from 1 species